AACCCCUAUGUUAGUUGCCAUCAUUCAUUGGGCACUCUAGCGAGACUGCCGGUAAUAAACCGGAGGAAGGUGGGGAUGACGUCAAAUCAUCAUGCCCCUUAUGACCUGGGCUACACACGUGCUACAAUGGUUGGUACAACGAGUUGCGAGUCGGUGACGGCGAGCUAAUCUCUUAAAGCCAAUCUCAGUUCGGAUUGUAGGCUGCAACUCGCCUACAUGAAGUCGGAAUCGCUAGUAAUCGCGGAUCAGCACGCCGCGGUGAAUACGUUCCCGGGCCUU
rnacentral:rRNA from 1 species